rnacentral:rRNA from 1 species
GACGAACGCUGGCGGCGUGCUUAACACAUGCAAGUCGAACGGAAAGGCCCCCUUGUGGGGUACUCGAGUGGCGAACGGGUGAGUAACACGUGAGUAACCUACCCUUGACUUUGGGAUAACUUCAGGAAACUGGGGCUAAUACCGGAUAGGAGCUCCUGCUGCAUGGUGGGGGUUGGAAAGUUUCGGCGGUUGGGGAUGGACUCGCGGCUUAUCAGCUUGUUGGUGGGGUAGUGGCUCACCAAGGCUUUGACGGGUAGCCGGCCUGAGAGGGUGACCGGCCACAUUGGGACUGAGGUACGGACCAGACUCCUACGGGGGGCAGCAGUGGGGAAUAUUGCACAAUGGGCGGAAGCCUGAUGCAGCAACGCCGCGUGCGGAAUGACGGCCUUCGGGUUGUAAACCGCUUUCGCCUGUGACGAAGCGUGAGUGACGGUAAUGGGUAAAGAAGCACCGGCUAACUACGUG